rnacentral:rRNA from 1 species
UACGGAGGGUGCAAGCGCUGUUCGGAAUUACUGGGCGUAAAGAGCGCGUAGGCGGUUUAUUAAGUUGGGGGUGAAAUCCCUGAGCUCAACUCCGGAAUUGCCUUCAAAACUGGUAGGCUCGAGUCCGGAAGAGGAGCGUGGAAUUCCAAGUGUAGAGGUGAAAUUCGUAGAUAUUGGGAAGAACACCGGUGGCGAAGGCGGCGCCCUGGUCCGGUACUGACGCUGAGGCGAGAAAGCGUGGGGAGCAAACAGG